rnacentral:RNase_P_RNA from 1 species
AGAUGGGGCCGGAUGGUCGCUGCCGGCUUCGGCCGGGAGAGGAAAGUCCGAACUCCAUAGGGCGGUGUGCCGGAUAACGUCCGGGACUGCACCGUAAAGGGUGCAGGACGGCCAGUGCCACAGAGAAGAUACCGCCCCGGGCAACCGGGGUAAGGGUGAAAAGGUGCGGUAAGAGCGCACCGCGCAGUCAGUAAUGGCUGUGGCAAGGUAAACCCCACACGGAGCAAGACCAAAUAGGCGGGGAGAUGGCUCAAGACCCAGAAGGGGCCAUCGCGUGCCGGCCCGGCACGUUAAGGUGGGUUCCCAAUGCGGUUCGCCGCAAAGGGCCGAAACUCGCGGGUAGGUUGCUGUUGAGUGUCCGCAGUAAUGCGGCGCCUAGAGGAAUGACCGUCUAGAACAGAAUUCGGCUUACGGGCCUUAUCUGCAA